rnacentral:rRNA from 1 species
ACUCAAAGGAAUUGACGGGGGCCCGCACAAGCGGAGGAACAUGUGGUUUAAUUCGAUGAUACGCGAGGAACCUUACCCGGGCUCGAACGACAGGGGAAUAUGGGGGAAACUUCAUAGCCAGCAAUGGUCGCUGUCGAGGUGCUGCAUGGUUGUCGUCAGCUCGUGCCGUGAGGUGUCGGCUUAAGUGCCAUAACGAGCGCAACCCUUAUCUUUAGUUGCCAGCGGGUCAUGCCGGGGACUCUAGAGAAACUGCCAGCGUAAGCUGUGAGGAAGGUGGGGAUGACGUCAAAUCAGCACGGCCCUUACGUCCGGGGCGACACACGUGUUACAAUGGCCGGUACAGAGGGCAGCUACCCAGUGAUGGGAUGCGAAUCUCGAAAGCCGGUCUCAGUUCGGAUCGAAGUCUGCAACUCGACUUCGUGAAGCUGGAUUCGCUAGUAAUCGCGCAUCAGCCAUGGCGCGGUGAAUACGUUCCCGGGCCUUGUACACACCGCCCGU